UAGUUAAUGUUACCUAGCUAAAAAGCUAGAGAGCUACAGUUGUUAAUCAAAACCAAAAUCUAGCUAGCUAGCUUCAAUAAUAUGCUGGCUAUAUUCCAAAGCAUAUCAAUGUAAUUAGCUGGCUGCUACUGGAGACAUGAUUUGUAACUUUGCAAGCUAAUAUAAGCAUUGUUAGGUUACGUUGGUUAACAGUUCGCCUCUGCUGUAGUUAGUUAGUUAGCUAGCUAACGUGACUAGCUGUGUUCUUUUUAGAGUCCGAUCCCAUCAUCUGCAGAGGCAUCAACAUCAAGCUCAGCACCAGAAACUUGUGAGACCUGCAGUACAAACAAAUCUUCUGCAAUAGGUCGAAGCAGUGAGUGGUAAAGAAAGUGUAUGAGGCUUGUUCACCUGGCUGUGGAUUGCAGGAAAGACCAGAGUUUUCUACAAGGAGCCAGAGUUGCGGCCCCCCCAAACUCAACAUCGCCACAGCGCCAAAGCCUGCUAAACCAGCUGCCAUUACCCAACACAAGAAGAAUUUCACCAGCUGAAAAACAUUCAGGAACAUGCUUGGAACGUUCAAUCAACACAACAUCCGUAUUCAGUUAGACUGAUGUUGUAGUAUGGUCACAACUGCAUUGUGGUGUAUAUAUUGCUAGCUGUAUAGAAGUGUUUUGUAUAAUAUAUUUUACAAGCGACUAAGUGAUUCCAGCAGCAUCAGAAACCAAUAAACUGUUGACUUCAA